GAUUGAACGCUGGCGGUAUGCUUAACACAUGCAAGUCGAACGGAAACGAUACUAGCUUGCUAGUAGGCGUCGAGUGGCGGACGGGUGAGUAACGCGUAGGAAUCUGCCUGAUAGUGGGGGAUAGCCCGAAGAAAUUCGGAUUAAUACCGCAUAAUCUAUUCGUAGUAAAGUGGGGGACUUUCGAGCCUCACGCUAUCAGAUGAGCCUGCGUAAGAUUAGCUUGUUGGUAGGGUAAAAGCCUACCAAGGCGACGAUCUUUAGCUGGUCUGAGAGGAUGAUCAGCCACAUCGGGACUGAGACACGGCCCGAACUCCUACGGGAGGCAGCAGUGGGGAAUAUUGGACAAUGGGGGCAACCCUGAUCCAGCAAUACCGCGUGUGUGAAGAAGGCCUGAGGGUUGUAAAGCACUUUCAAUUGUGAAGAAAAGUUAGCGGUUAAUAACCGUUAGCCUUGACGUUAACUUUAGAAGAAGCACCGGCUAACUCCGUGCCAGCAGCCGCGGUAAUACGGAGGGUGCAAGCGUUAAUCGGAAUUACUGGGCGUAAAGCGUGCGUAGGCGGUUUAUUAAGUCAGAUGUGAAAGCCCCGGGCUUAACCUGGGAACUGCAUUUGAAACUGGUCAACUAGAGUAUGGUAGAGGAAAGUGGAAUUUCUGGUGUAGCGGUGAAAUGCGUAGAUAUCAGAAGGAACAUCAAUGGCGAAGGCAGCUUUCUGGACCAAUACUGACGCUGAGGUACGAAAGCGUGGGUAGCAAACAGGAUUAGAUACCCUGGUAGUCCACGCCGUAAACGAUGAUAACUAGCCGUUGGGGGGAUUUACCCUUUAGUGGCGAAGCUAACGCGUUAAGUUAUCCGCCUGGGGAGUACGGCCGCAAGGUUAAAACUCAAAGGAAUUGACGGGGACCCGCACAAGCGGUGGAGCAUGUGGUUUAAUUCGAUGCAACGCGAAGAACCUUACCUGGUCUUGACAUCCUGCGAACUUUCUAGAAAUAGAUUGGUGCCUUCGGGAACGCAGUGACAGGUGCUGCAUGGCUGUCGUCAGCUCGUGUCGUGAGAUGUUGGGUUAAGUCCCGUAACGAGCGCAACCCCUAUCCUUAUUUGCCAGCACAUCAUGGUGGGAACUAUAAGGAGACUGCCGGUGAUAAACCGGAGGAAGGCGGGGACGACGUCAAGUCAUCAUGGCCCUUACGACCAGGGCUACACACGUGCUACAAUGGGAAGGACAAAGAGCCGCGAAGCCGCGAGGUGUAGCUAAUCUCAUAAACCUUUUCGUAGUCCGGAUUGGAGUCUGCAACUCGACUCCAUGAAGUCGGAAUCGCUAGUAAUCGUAGAUCAGAAUGCUACGGUGAAUACGUUCCCGGGUCUUGUACACACCGC
rnacentral:rRNA from 1 species